GAUGAACGCUGGCGGCGUGCCUAAUACAUGCAAGUCGAGCGAACAGACGAGGAGCUUGCUCCUCUGACGUUAGCGGCGGACGGGUGAGUAACACGUGGAUAACCUACCUAUAAGACUGGGAUAACUUCGGGAAACCGGAGCUAAUACCGGAUAAUAUAUUGAACCGCAUGGUUCAAUAGUGAAAGACGGUUUUGCUGUCACUUAUAGAUGGAUCCGCGCCGCAUUAGCUAGUUGGUAAGGUAACGGCUUACCAAGGCAACGAUGCGUAGCCGACCUGAGAGGGUGAUCGGCCACACUGGAACUGAGACACGGUCCAGACUCCUACGGGAGGCACCAGUAGGGAAUCUUCCGAAAUGGGCGAAAGCUUGACGGAGCAAUGCCGCGUGAGUGAUGAAGGUCUUCGGAUCGUAAAACUCUGUUAUUAGGGAAGAACAAAUGUGUAAGUAACUAUGCACGUCUUGACGGUACCUAAUCAGAAAGCCACGGCUAACUACGUG
rnacentral:rRNA from 1 species